rnacentral:rRNA from 1 species
UGAGGAAUAUUGGUCAAUGGGCGCAAGCCUGAACCAGCCAUCCCGCGUGCAGGAAGACGGCGCUAUGCGUUGUAAACUGCUUUUCUAGGGAGAGAAACUUGCGCACGUGUUGCGCAAUUGACGGUACCCUGGGAAUAAGCAUCGGCUAACUCCGUGCCAGCAGCCGCGGUAAUACGGAGGAUGCGAGCGUUAUCCGGAUUCAUUGGGCUUAAAGGGUGCGUAGGCGGACUAUUAGGUCAGUGGUGAAAUCCUGCAGCUUAACUGCAGAACUGCCAUUGAUACUGAUAGCCUUGAGUUUGGUUAAGGUAGGCGGAAUGUGUAAUGUAGCGGUGAAAUGCUUAGAUAUUACACAGAACACCAAUUGCGUAGGCAGCUUACUGAGCCGACACUGACGCUGAGGCACGAAAGCGUGGGGAUCGAACAG